rnacentral:rRNA from 1 species
ACAGCAGUCGCCACGGUAAUACGAAGGGGGCUAGCGUUGUUCGGAAUUACUGGGCGUAAAGCGCACGUAGGCGGAUAUUUAAGUCAGGGGUGAAAUCCCAGAGCUCAACUCUGGAACUGCCUUUGAUACUGGGUAUCUUGAGUAUGGAAGAGGUGAGUGGAAUUCCGAGUGUAGAGGUGAAAUUCGUAGAUAUUCGGAGGAACACCAGUGGCGAAGGCGGCUCACUGGUCCAUUACUGACGCUGAGGUGCGAAAGCGUGGGGAGCAAACAGGAUUAGAUACCCCAGUAGUCCCUGUCUCUUAUAC